rfam:Zea mays strain NB mitochondrion, complete genome.
CCGAUCGACGAUGAAGACCUUGUCUCCUACAUCCUGGCAGGCCUCGACGACGACUACAACUAGGUUGUGACCACACUGAAGAACCGAUCUAUAUACUGUGGGGGAAGCCUACGCGCAACCCCUAAGCUUCGAGC